rnacentral:rRNA from 1 species
CACGUAGGGCGCGAGCGUUGUCCGGAAUUAUUGGGCGUAAAGAGCUCGUAGGCGGCCUGUUGCGUCCGCUGUGAAAGCCCGGGGCUUAACCCCGGGUCUGCAGUGGAUACGGGCAGGCUAGAGGUAGGUAGGGGAGAAUGGAAUUCCCGGUGUAGCGGUGAAAUGCGCAGAUAUCGGGAGGAACACCAGUGGCGAAGGCGACACGCUGGGCCGUACCUGACACUGAACCGCGACAGCAUGGGGAGCAAACAGG